rnacentral:rRNA from 1 species
GACGAACGCUGGCGGCGUGCCUAACACAUGCAAGUUGAGCGACGAACCAGGGCUUGCCCUGGGGCAAAGCCGCGAACGGGUGAGUAACACGUGGGUAACCUACCCCGAUAACCGGGACAACCCGAGGAAACUCGGGCUAAUACCGGAUGUGCUCACUGGACUUCGGUUCAGUGCGUAAAGGAAGCUUCGGCCUCCGUAUCGGGAGGGGCCCGCGGCCCAUUAGUUUGUUGGUGAGGUAACGGCUCACCAAGACCGCGAUGGGUAGCUGGUCUGAGAGGACGAUCAGCCACACUGGGACUGAGACACGGCCCAGACUCCUACGGGAGGCAGCAGUGGGGAAUCUUGAGCAAUGCGCGAAAGCGUGACGCAGCAACGCCGCGUGGGGGAAGAAGGCCUUCGGGUUGUAAACCCCUUUCAGGAGGGACGAAGGUUCGGCGGUGAAUAGCCGUCCGGACUGACGGUACCUCCACAAGAAGCCCCGGCUAACUACGUG